rnacentral:rRNA from 1 species
UACGGAGGGUGCGAGCGUUGUCCGGAAUCAUUGGGCGUAAAGCGCAUGUAGGCGGCCGAGCAGGUCGGAUGUGAAAGCCCUGGGCUCAACCCAGGAAGUGCAUUCGAAACCGCUCGGCUCGAGUCCCGGAGAGGAAGUUGGAAUUCUCGGUGUAGAGGUGAAAUUCGUAGAUAUCGGGAGGAACACCGGCGGCGAAAGCGGACUUCUGGACGAGGACUGACGCUGAGAUGCGAAAGCGUGGGGAGCAAACAGG